rnacentral:pre_miRNA from 1 species
AAUUUGCGAUGUAGCAUGCCCGUUUGGUGCUUAACUCUGAUGUAUAAUUAUUAUUUAAUUACUUUUGGGUAACGGGGUGUUACACAAAU